rnacentral:rRNA from 1 species
GACGAACGCUGGCGGCGUGCUUAACACAUGCAAGUCGAGCGGUAAGGCCCUUUCGGGGGUACACGAGCGGCGAACGGGUGAGUAACACGUGGGUGACCUGCCCUCAGCUCUGGGAUAAGCCUGGGAAACUGGGUCUAAUACUGGAUAUGACUCCACGGUGCAUGUCGUGGGGUGGAAAGCCUUGUGCGGCUGAGGAUGGGCCCGCGGCCUAUCAGCUUGUUGGUGGGGGGAUGGCCUACC